CCUCCCACUCGCGUCCAAACUCCCCUCCUCUCCCUUGCCGGACGGUUCCGCCGCCCGCUCGCGUUCCUGCCUCCUCCGCCACCCGCUCGCGUUCCUUGCCUCCGCCGCCGCCGCAUCCCUACGACCCUACCUUGCCGCGGCAAGCCGUUGCUUCCUCCCCUUUCUGCCACUCCUUUCCUUCCUCCACUCCACUUUUCUGUUGGCGUCUCCUCCAGUCGAAUUGGUUUUCCUUCCCCCAAACCUUAGGGUUUGGAUUUCCUCUAUUCCUUCCGUUCCAAAUUAGCGCGUAUUGUGCCGGCGUGCCACUCAUGCUUGAUGGAUGCGACAGGGUCAUCCAGUUCUAUGUGCCCUACUUGCCUGCCAUCCAGCUCUAUGGAGACUCCGCUGUCCUGCGGACACCUACUAGCACAACACAAGGUAUGAGCGACUAUAUUAGAGAAAAAGAGAGCCAUACGGGAGGUUGAUUAGCUAGCAUUGCUUCUGGGGUGAUGUUACCAUGCGAGAUUCCGGGGUCCUGUUUUUCCAGCAGCCUCCAUAAGUGGGAAGGACGACAAUGCUAUUGGAGAUGGCAAAUGUGAUACCCUGAUGGUGAGACUGACACAUGGUGGGAGCGGACCUCAGGUGGAGAUGCGAUGGAGAAUUGUUUUUUUAAGGGAGAUGUGGGUUCAGAGUUCGAAGGUUGUUUGAAUUUGACUUGCACAAUGAAAAAUCAAAAUAUAAAUGUUAGAGAUUUUGUAUACUUGUCUCAUCAAGAAACUUGGACUUACCAAAUAAUCUAAUGGGAUCUAAUGUAACAUGGAUUUUACUGAAAAAUGCAAAUCUCGUAUUACAUUG